GGCACCUUUGUCUUGUGAUACCCUAGGAGCCAAGCCUAUUAGAUUUCAUUAAUUAGACUAGGAAGAAAGAUGCAGGUGAAAGCUGUGGAGAAAGAAUGUGUCUGAUUACCUCUGUGCUGUUCAGAGCAGAGAUCAUCCCAUUAUGGAGUUGUACAGCAGCAGAGGAACAGUAGUAGCCUGGGGAAGCUACAACCACCAUGGUGUGAGUGCAAACAGUGCCUGGAAUUUGAAACAGAGUGAAGGGCAAAAAAAGUCUGUGAUAAUUUUUCAAGGCAAAUGAUUGGAACUUUCAAGGCAUUUCAAGGUGGUCAGAUGCUUAGCUCCCACUGAAAAGGGAUGUCUUCAGAUGCAGGUACCAAAAUCAGUUCUCUAAGCAUUCUGAAGGGCAUUGAGGAUAUCACUUUAGAAAAGCCCAGGAUACAGAGCAAGGGUAUCUUAACUGAAGUUCACAGGAGACUUACCCCUAUCUCCAGUUGCUCUAGAGAGGCUCCUGGGACCCUGACUUUAGACAAAGCAGAGCUAUGCUCACCUCCUCCCCACUCCCUGAUCAGCAAAGGGUUAAAGGGUGGGGGAGCACUUUGAUUAAUAGAUGUCGUGUGAACAUGCA